rnacentral:lncRNA from 1 species
AUCAUAUCGAGAUGUUUCGGGGUAGGAAAUUAAUUUUGCUAGAUCAAGCUUUGUUGUUAGCCCAAACACUCCCACUAACAUAAGAAUGGCCAUCUCAAGAGUAUUUAAUAUUCAAUCUGUGGUAGGAGUGGGAAGAUACCUGGGGCUUUAUCUUGAUUUUUCUCAAAAUAAAUCCCAAUUGUUUGCCGAACUCAAGUCACGAAUUUUUCGGCGCAUUUGGAAAUGGAGGUCAUCUAAUCUUUCAGUCAUGGGACGGAUUAUAUUAGCAGCAUGUGCUGAGUGCUCUAUCACAACAGACCCUUUCAAUGUUUCGUGUCCCGCGCACCAUAACCAAAACAAUUGACAAGUACAUUGCGCGAUUCAUUUGGAUUGGGGAUGUGGAAGGACGUGGGAUCCAUUGGAAAGCGUGGUCCACUCUAACUAUGUCCAUUUUUAGAGAGGGUCUGGGAACGCGAUCUACAGAAGAAUUGAACAGAGCCUUAGUCGCUAAAUCAGCUUGGUGAAUACUUUCUCAGCCAGAAACUAUGUUUAGCCGUUUCUUCUUAGCUAAGUAUUGCAGGAAAACAGAGUUUCUAAGUGUGCGCUGUGCAUCUAAUGCUACUUGGGGAUGGCGAAGCAUCUUGUGGGGAAGAGAUCUACUGAAGUUGGGACUCAAGUGGUGAGUAGUAAAUGGUGCAAAAAUAAAGUUAGAGGAUAACUAGAUUCCUGAAUGUCAAAAUCCUCUUUGCGGCAUUUACAAUCUACCUCAAUUGCUAAACAUGAGAGUUGCGGACUUGCUUGAUUCUACUGGGCACUGGAGGGAGUCAUUGAUUAAAAUGUUUUUUCCUACCAUGAUAGCCUGUAGAAUCCUUACAAUUUAUAUUCCGCACUAUGGAAGAGAUGAUCACAUCAUAUAGAGUUUGAAAGAAGCGGGGUUUAUUCUAUCAAGUUGGGAUACCAUUUGGCUGUAGCUGUUCGACAGAGUCAGAAUCCUUCAUCAUCUUCACCAUCCAACGGAUCAACAAUUCCACAUCAUGUUUGGAAACGGUUAUGGUGCCUAAAAAUUCCAUCGCGCAUCCAGUUCUUUGUCUGGCGACUUCUACAUAACGCUUGUCCCACCAAUUUAGCUUUGUUCAAAAGGAACUCCAGUUUGUCUUCGAUGCGGUACACAUGAAGAUUCGGCUACCUAUUUAUUUCUGCAAUGUCCAACAUCAGUCCGAAUCUAGAGAGCAUCACGGCUGGGAUUUAACUUUGAAAUAGGUGCACCAAUUCCUUUAUCCAUAUGGCUGCAGCAAUGGAUCACAGGAUCUCCUGAGGAUGAGGAUUUAAUAUUAUCGAUAUACAUCUUAUAGGACAUCUAGCUAGAGCGGAAUAAAUUUGUGUGGCAAGGAAAACAAACAAGCCCAGAACAUAUAUUGCUCGCAGUGCAGGCAAUGAACCAGAGGAAUUUGCCAUGGCCAGAAGAUAUUCAAGACCAACACUCUUCAAAUCUCAAUGCUCACAAGAAGCCAGUCAACAGAGGUAAUCUUAAGCUAUCUUUUGAAGAGCUAGAGACGGACCAUCAACAUUGUCAGCUCGCAAUCACCAUUGAUGGAUCCUUUCAAAUAAGUGAACAUAGGCAUAACGCAGCCAUAGCAUGGGUUAUUGAGGAUAACAUUGGCAAUUUGAUAUUUCAACACUAAAAAGUUCCGGCUCUCAUAGCUUUGCAGACUGAGGCUUUAGCAUGUUUAUGGGCUCUCAAGCACCUUUGCACCAUCUCUUGCCACUCAGCUCAAAUCAGAACUGAUUCUCUUCUACUAAUUCAUACCCUAGCUGAACCAGAGAGUUGUCCUCCACAUAUUCACUUUAUAAUAGAAGAUAUCAUAUAUGUGUAGCCAUGUAGGUUCAUUUUUGUACUCCAUGUUGUAAAGGUUAGGAGAUUUUCAGUAGUUAAAGCCCAUAAUUUGGCAUAUGCCACUAGAAUGCUGUAAGUGAAGUUUAGUAAUGAAUUUUAUUUCGUUUUUGUUUCUAAAAAAAAAUCAUGCUUAAGCUCAAGCCUAAAUCAAUUGAUCUCGAACUCUAAAUGUAAAACAACGAGCUCAAUUUUGAAUUAAAGUUCAAGCCUAAUCGGCUUGAGCUUGAAUCCAAUUGAGGUUACAUUACAAAAAACACAUAAUUAUAAGUACAUGGAACAUAGUGUAAUUUCAAAACCAAAAUUAAAUUUUAAUUAAACAUACAGGAUUGACCUAGUAUGACGAACAAGUCGAGUGUCUCUAUAUUCGGACUCAACUUGAUAGCUUCACUAAGUCCCACUCAAACUCUGCUUUAACUCAAUGUUUAUGGAACUCAAAUCCAGUUUGACCAAUUUGGUUGUGUGCGAAUCGUGAGCAGGCACAAUUUGAUUGCAAAGCUACCAUAUGUAUGGUGGACACGAAUAAAAGAUGAGAAAGCAAAAACCACUGCAAC